GCGGUAAUUCCAGCUCCAAUAGCGUAUAUGUAAAUUGCUGCGGUUGAAACGCUCGUAGUUGGACUUCGGAUGUCAGAGUUCGGUCCACUUCUGUGAGUACUGGAUUCUGGCAUCUCUUUUGUCGACGGGUUUCAUCGGACUUAAUUGGCUGGUGAUUUUCUAUCGACGAUGUUACUUUGAGGAAAUCAGAGUGCUCAAAGCAUGCGUACGCUCGUGACUUCACUAGCAUGGAAUAACACAGAUGGGCUCUGUCUCGCAACGUUGGUCUGCGUCAAUUGAGCAACGAUCGAUAGAGACGGUCGGGGGCAUUCGUAUUGCGCAGUUAGAGGUGAAAUUCUCCGAUCUGCGUAAGACGCACUAGUGCGAAAGCAAUUGCCAAGGACGUCCUCUUAUGAUCAAGAGCGAAAGUCGGGGGAUCAAAGAUGAUUAGAUACCGUCGUAGUCCCGACCAUAAAUGAUGCCGACUGAGCGUCGGUGACUCGGCUUUAUGCCGGACAUCGGCGCUCUUGAGAGAAAUUAAAGUCUUUGGGCUCCGGGGGUAGUAUGGUCGCAAGUCUGAAACUUGAAGGAAUUGACGGAAGGGCACCACAAGGCGUGGAUGUUGCGGCUUAAUUUGACUCAACACGGGAAAGCUUACUAGGUUUGGACACUUGAAUGAGGGACAUAUUGAAGCUCUUACCUUAUCUUGUGGAUGGUGGUGCAUGGUCGUUCUCAGCCCGUGGGUUGACCUGUCAGGUUUACUCCGGUAACGCGCGAGACCUCGGUUUGCUAAAUAGACGUGGCUGUUUCGGCACCCGCGUUCUUCUUAGAGAGAGACUCAGUGAGAAUUGAGGGAAGUCGAGGCAAUAACAGAUCUGUGAUGCCCUUAGUUAUCCUAGGUCGCACGCGCCAUACAAUGUGGCGCACAACGAGUUUCCUAGGCCGAUAGGACUGGGCAAUCUGUGAGAGCGCUACGUGACUGGGCUAGACUUUUGUAAUUGUUGGUCUUGAACGAGGAAUGCCUAGUAAUCGCAGGUCAUUAUCCUGCGAUGAUUAUGUCCCUGCCCUUUGUACACACCGCCCGUCGCUCCUGCCGUGGCCCGUGCCGGUGAAGAGGGGGAGGCAGCGUCGAUUUGGAUAAAACCGAAUUGUACGUGGAACCCCUCUGAACCUUCGCGAGUAGAGGAAGGAGAAGUCGU
rnacentral:rRNA from 1 species